UCAAGUGAAUAAGUGCAUCAGGUGGAUGCCUUGGCGAUGAUAGGCGACGAAGGACGUGUAAGCCUGCGAAAAGCGUGGGGGAGCUGGCAAUAAAGCUAUGAUCCCGCGAUGUCCGAAUGGGGAAACCCACCUCUUAGGAGGUAUCCUUAUCUGAAUACAUAGGAUAAGCGAAGCGAACCCGGAGAACUGAACCAUCUAAGUACCCGGAGGAAAAGAAAUCAACCGAGAUUCCGCAAGUAGUGGCGAGCGAACGCGGAGGAGCCUGUACGUAAUAACUGUCGAGAUAGAAGAACAAGCUGGGAAGCUUGACCAUAGUGGGUGAUAGUCCCGUAUUCGAAAUCUCAAUAGUGGUACUAAGCGUACGAAAAGUAGGGCGGGACACGUGAAAUCCUGUCUGAAUAUGGGGGGACCAUCCUCCAAGGCUAAAUACUCAUCAUCGACCGAUAGUGAACCAGUACCGUGAGGGAAAGGCGAAAAGAACCCCGGGAGGGGAGUGAAAUAGAACCUGAAACCUGAUGCAUACAAACAGUGGGAGCACCCUUGUGGUGUGACUGCGUACCUUUUGUAUAAUGGGUCAACGACUUACAUUCAGUAGCGAGCUUAACCGAAUAGGGGAGGCGUAGGGAAACCGAGUCUUAAUAGGGCGAACAGUUGCUGGGUGUAGACCCGAAACCGAGUGAUCUAUCCAUGGCCAGGUUGAAGGUGCCGUAACAGGUACUGGAGGACCGAACCCACGCAUGUUGCAAAAUGCGGGGAUGAGCUGUGGAUAGGGGUGAAAGGCUAAACAAACUCGGAGAUAGCUGGUUCUCCCCGAAAACUAUUUAGGUAGUGCCUCGAGCAAGACACUGAUGGGGGUAAAGCACUGUUAUGGCUAGGGGGUUAUUGCAACUUACCAACCCAUGGCAAACUAAGAAUACCAUCAAGUGGUUCCUCGGGAGACAGACAGCGGGUGCUAACGUCCGUUGUCAAGAGGGAAACAACCCAGACCGCCAGCUAAGGUCCCAAAUGAUAGAUUAAGUGGUAAACGAAGUGGGAAGGCCCAGACAGCCAGGAUGUUGGCUUAGAAGCAGCCAUCAUUUAAAGAAAGCGUAAUAGCUCACUGGUCGAGUCGUCCUGCGCGGAAGAUGUAACGGGGCUCAAAUCUAUAACCGAAGCUGCGGAUGCCAGUUUACUGGCAUGGUAGGGGAGCGUUCUGUAGGCCGAUGAAGGUGCAUUGUAAAGUGUGCUGGAGGUAUCAGAAGUGCGAAUGUUGACAUGAGUAGCGAUAAAGCGGGUGAAAAGCCCGCUCGCCGAAAGCCCAAGGUUUCCUACGCAACGUUCAUCGGCGUAGGGUGAGUCGGCCCCUAAGGCGAGGCAGAAAUGCGUAGUCGAUGGGAAACAGGUUAAUAUUCCUGUACUUGAUUCAAAUGCGAUGUGGGGACGGAGAAGGUUAGGUUAGCAAGCUGUUGGAAUAGCUUGUUUAAGCCGGUAGGUGGAAGACUUAGGCAAAUCCGGGUCUUCUUAACACCGAGAAGUGACGACGAGUGUCUACGGACAUGAAGUAACCGAUACCACGCUUCCAGGAAAAGCCACUAAGCUUCAGUUUGAAUUGAACCGUACCGCAAACCGACACAGGUGGGCAGGAUGAGAAUUCUAAGGCGCUUGAGAGAACUCGGGAGAAGGAACUCGGCAAAUUGAUACCGUAACUUCGGGAGAAGGUAUGCCCUCUAAGGUUAAGGACUUGCUCCGUAAGCCCUGGAGGGUCGCAGAGAAUAGGUGGCUGCGACUGUUUAUUAAAAACACAGCACUCUGCUAACACGAAAGUGGACGUAUAGGGUGUGACGCCUGCCCGGUGCUGGAAGGUUAAUUGAAGAUGUGCAAGCAUCGGAUCGAAGCCCCAGUAAACGGCGGCCGUAACUAUAACGGUCCUAAGGUAGCGAAAUUCCUUGUCGGGU
rnacentral:rRNA from 1 species